UGGACUGGCUCCCUUGUCUACCGGCCCCAUGGAGGAGCUGGAAGAAUCCAUGUGACCUAAAGCGAACAAGGGAGAAGAAGCAGAGCUAUACACUGGCCAUUAGGAAAAUUCUGCGCCUGGGAGCAGGAGAGAACAGAAACCCUCAACUAAGUUCAAGAGGGGCUCUUCUGGCCGGGAGGCCCUUCUACACCAGAUAAACACGAGGGCGUCCUGUGAC
rnacentral:lncRNA from 1 species